CCAAGGAGAAAACUCAGUUUAUGAUAAAUAUUUUAAAAACUCAUUUAUAGUUAUAAGUGACUGUAAAAUAAUUAAUUCUACCCCUUCCUCUCUGCUACAUUUCAGGUCAAGUUUAGUACAUCCACUAUGAAACGUAGUACUAAAAAAAUUAUGAUCCAUUUUUCAUCCAGAAGCUGAUGCACCGUGUGAAUUUCAAAGCUCCAGUACCCACUUGCAGACAAGUUGCUGCAGGAAAGGUGCCAGCUAGAAACUCACCUACCCGAUCAGGGGCUAAAAGGUCUGAUUAUGAACUUCCUUAGUUACCUGUUGCAUAAGCUUCCCCCGGGCUAGGGACAAACAAGAGUGCCCAGGGCCUGUGGAACUGGAAUUCCUGCCGUGCAGGUUUCACCGUGUCCAUUACUCUGCUGUUACUUGCACAGUGACCCAUCGGAAAAAUGCCUCCCUUUGAUUUAUUUUUGGUACUAGAUAGACUGAACUUCAAAAUAAGAAAGUCUUCCUUCAAGAAAAAGAAGGCAAGGCAACCAAAUGAUUAGAAGAAAAGACUUUUUAGUGAACUGGGAUAAAAACAUCCUACACAGAUGCCUACAGAACCUCUGAGCUCAUACUCUCUGCCUGACCUGGACAUCACUGUGUUCAUACUCUCCUAUGCAUACACAUCUGUAGCUAACAAUGGACAAUAAUGUCUACAGAUAAAUACAUUUAAAUGCGACCAAGACAGCCCUUCCCUGUGCCACACCGAAACCACCAGGAAACAGACCCCUGGCACCCUGAGCAUCUCAUCGGCCAGACCGACACAGCUGGACUGACAUCCCCUCAGCUGGGUCGACGCUGGAACCAGGACUGACGACGUCUUUUUCAUCUUUCUUUCUUUAAUUCAUUUUCCCCUCUUUAAUUCUUCUCUUCCCUUUCACCCUGCUCCUUUAUCCAAAACCCACUGCCGUGUCCUUGUACAGUGGGUCAGGGACUAACAUACUAAUUUCUUUGCAAGUGUGUAAUUCACUGAUAAAACUUUCUGGUUGUUUGCAACCCCUCGGACUCUUGUUGUUCCUUUCGACCAUUGAUCAUUUACGACUCCCAGGCGAUUCUUUCCCUUUAAGGGUGGGUCUUCACAGUGGUACAACAGAGGAUUCAAAAACUCAUUUUCACAAUUUAGCGGGGGCUCUAAGUGUUUCUCGCAACUUCCUUCACCUGCAGUGAUAAUUCUCUCUGUUACCCGUAUCAAAACGAAAUAAAAAUAAGAUAAUCAAUGUCUGAGAGAACUUUCAAUCAAAGGAAACACAGAAACUCUCUCUGAGGCGACCCCUCGGCCGGCGCGCUCUCCGCCACCGCCGCCGAGGGGCCCGCUCCGAGCGCCGCUCGCCAUUGGCUGCCGAAUAGUGCCGAGUGCUCUCGUGCUCCUCCGGCGCGGCGCCGGAGGCUGCGGGGGGGGAGCGAACGGCUCGAGCACAGCGCGGUGCAUUGUGGGGCGGGAGAGGAGAGUCACUGCUCAGCCAGGGCCGCCAUCUUGGCUGCGUCCGGACUCGCUCCCGCUCCCGGGGCCUGCUCCUUUUCCUCGCAGCGCAAAGCGGUGGAAAGGGAGAAGACGAAGGGCCCGCCAGGGCGGUGCUGAUGCGCGCAGAGCCUCCUCGCACCUCUCUCGGGCGCCGCUAGCAAAGGGGGCGGGGGUGGUCGAGCGGUCACCGGCGCGGCCUCUUCUCUCCUCUGCCGGGAUGGGUCGGUCCCGCAGCAGGAGCUCGUCCCGCUCCAAGCACACCAAGAGCUCCAAGCACAACAAGAAGAACCGGAGCCGAUCGCGGUCCCGAUCCCGAGAAAAGGAGCGGGCAAGGAAGCGCUCCAAGUCCCGGGAGAGCAAGCGGAACCGGCGCCGGGAGUCCCGCUCCCGCUCGCGCUCUAAUACGGCCCCUUCCUCCCGGCGCGACCGGGACCGGGACCGCGACCGCGCCUCCUCCCCCCCCGACCGUAUCGACAUCUUCGGGCGCACGGUGAGCAAGCGCAGCAGCCUGGAUGAGAAACAGAAGCGGGAGGAGGAGGAGAAAAAAGCGGAGUUCGAGCGGCAGCGGAAAAUUCGUCAACAAGAAAUUGAAGAGAAACUCAUAGAGGAAGAAACUGCUCGAAGGGUGGAAGAACUUGUAGCUAAACGCGUAGAAGAAGAGUUGGAGAAAAGAAAGGAUGAGAUUGAGCGAGAGGUUCUCCGCAGGGUGGAGGAGGCUAAGCGCAUCAUGGAAAAACAGUUGCUCGAAGAACUCGAGCGACAGCGACAAGCUGAACUUGCAGCACAAAAAGCCAGAGAGGUAACGCUCGGUCGUUUGGAAAGUAGAGACAGUCCAUGGCAAAACUUUCAGUGUCGGUUUGUGCCUCCUGUUCGGUUCACAAAGAGAUGGAAUACAGCAAAUCUAAUUCCCUUCUCAUAUAAACUUGCAUUGCUGCGAAACUUAAUUUCUAGCCUAUUCAGAGGAGCUCACUGAUAUUUAAACAGUUACUCUCCUAAAACCUGAACAAGGAUACUUGAUUCUUAAUGGAACUGACCUACAUAUAUUUCAGAAUUGUUUGAAACUUUUGCCAUGGCUGCAGGAUUUAUCAGCAGUCCUUUCAUUUUGGGGAAGGGUAUUAAAAAAUAUGUAAUUAUGUAUCCUUCAUUUGUUUCAUUUUGUUUACCUAGACUGUAAGAGGCUUUUGCCUUCAGCCAGGCAAAAAGCAGGGUCCAGCAGUGAGCUGCAGUACCUGUCUUUUAACAAAUAGGUUUCCUAUUCUUCAUUUAAAAUGAACAUUUUCCUUGAGCAUACAUUGGACUAAUUCUGGGACUUCGAGCAUAAGCCCAUCCACGUCUUCACGAAGGAUCUCUGUCCAAAUCAUUAUAUCCAUUUUUAAUAACUACUAACAACUCCUUUUUUUCUCCCUAGAAGUUAUAAAAGAGCAGGUUGCCCUUGUCUGAAGUCAAGCUGAACGUGUGACUUGGGUUUUUGGGGCCUUUUUUUGUUGUUUUGUUUUAUUUUUUUAAUCAGCAGCUGGAGCAGAAGCUGAAAAUGUCUUUCUGUGAGACAGUAAUUUGCUACUAAAGGCUUUGAUGCCUGCCUGCACCAAUCAUUCCAGGAUCCAGAAAUUUCAAGACAAACUUCGAACCAUAGAGGAAAUUUGUGCUAAAUAGUCAUAAGUGUUAAAUGCUUUUUUCACUCUCUAUGUCCUACACAGUUUGUCUUAAAUUAAUAUUUUGAUUGGCUUGUGAAAGGAGAGACAGUAGCAUUGCAACUUUCCCCUUCAUACUAGAUGUGACUUGUCAGUCACAUAGUAUCAAAUCAAAUGGAAACAAAUGGAAUGCUGAGUUAUAAUAAAUACUAAAGAGAAUAAAUAAAUUAUACUUUCUUGCAAAUUCAGACUUUAAUAUCAGAGUUUAAGUUGAAUUUACGUGUUUGUAGUCAGCAAAUUCUUCAUAUGUAGAGGUUUUCAUUUGAUCAGAUGGAUGACUUUUUUUUUUAAAAAAAAGUAUUUUUGGUAUCGUCGUCAUGUGGAGAAGUCCCACCAGUUCCUUGUAAUGCAGAAUGAACCUCCAUGCCUGGAGUGAAGUGUGCUAGCUAGUAGCUGGUUACUAGUCAUAGUAAGAAGUUUUCAUAUGCUUGCUUUGUUCGUAUUAACUUUUUUUUCUUACACAGACACAAACCUCUGGCUAACUUUAAAUCCUCCAAAUAUAAAAAUAAUUUGGAUAUAUAUUAUGUGAACUGAAACACUUCAAAAUUUUUCACGCAGUCUUCAUAUUUGAGUUGCAUAACAGAGUUCCAUAAAAUUCACCAAGAAAACAACAAUUACAAGGCUUUAUUUCCUGAUCUUGCCUUCCCUGGACUCCUGAAUUCCAAGUUCAUACUGCAGACAGUUUCAGCUGUCUUAAAAUUGUCAAAAUACUGAAUGUUAAGUCCAUUCUCCCCAUGAAAGAAGCCCAUAGCUCCAUGAAGUAUGGAUUACCAUUUGUAUUUUUCACUAACAGUAAAUGUAUUUUUCUUAUUAACUGUUUGCCUUAGGAAUGAUUUACAUAUUUUUGUUCCUUCUUACCAUAAACAUCUGCAUUCCUCAGCUCAGCCUUCCUUGUAUGUUGUUUCUUUAUAAAUGGUUGAGCUGCUGAUGCAGGUAUUGCCAAGCUAACAGUACAAAUCAUUUUAAAGAGGAAGCUGGCGCGUAUGGCAGCCGAGGAGCACACUCUGCAGGACACUGGACAAGACAGAAGAAGAGCGUGCAAAGCGUGAGGAACUAGAGCGAAUACUAGAAGAGAAUAAUCGAAAAAUUGCAGAAGCACAAGCUAAACUGGCUGAAGAACAAUUGAAAAUUGUUGAAGAACAAAGAAAGAUUCAUGAGGAGAGGAUGAAACUAGAACAAGAGAGACAGCGUCAGCAAAAGGAAGAGCAAAAAAUUAUCCUGGGCAAAGGAAAGUCUAGGCCAAAACUGUCCUUCUCCCUAAAAAGCCAGGAUUAAAUUUCAACUCUGAACUCUUAAAAGAAAAAAAGAAACAGACAAAAAACAACAAAAAAGGAAAACAAACAAAAACUUUGUAUGGUAGCUUCAUGUUGAAGUGUUUUUUGUUUUUUUUUUCUUUCUCUCAAAUUUUUUUUGUCUUUUUUGAAAGUUGGAAAGUUAGCUUGUUCUAAUAGGGGCUGUGCUCUGCAAUUCUUAUUUUUUUUAAAUUUCCAUUAAGUUAAACCCUUAUCAGAUCAUCGUUGCCUUUUAGAGGAUAAUCUGUUUUCAUCAAUUUUGUUUCUGUAUUGGUGGUCUGAAGCAACUCAUGUCACUUUAUGAACUGUGGAUGAUCUGAUAAGGUUUUACUGACCUACUCAUCAGAGUUUGACUCUGAUAAUUGACAGAACUUUUUACUGGGUAUUGCUGACUUUUAAUGUUUUUAUUUUAAAGUCAGUAAAUACAUGAGUAAAUUGCCAUAGUAUUACUGGACCUCUGUGGUUUAUUGUUAAAUCAGUGUCCUAUGAUACUGUCCCGUUGUUGCGCUUGAUGUUCCUGAUACAGGUAAGGAAAUAGUUUGUCAUUUCUGCUAUGAAUACAUAGAGAGAGUUCAGUAUUGUCUCUGUUAGAUUUGUUUUUAUUACAUUGACAGCAUUCAACCAGCGUUCCCCAUUGUGUAAAUAAACCAAUUUGCUGAAUAAAGUGAAAGUCUUAAAUUCAUGUGUUUAAGUAAAUUUUUUUAGUACACUUCUAUAAACAGCUAUAAGAGUGACAAUUCACAAUAUUAAAUUCAAGACUAUAGUGAUAUUUUUUUAAAUUUUGCUUUAAACUAUUGUGGCUUCUACUUAUAAUGCAAAAUCACACACAGUAAAAAAUCCCUGCAGUUGUGAAUGUUAUUGAUGGCUGCUGCUGUUUUUAUGAACGUUGGUUUUUAUUCUGACAGAGACUUAUUUCAGCUGUAGUAUCAUGUUUAAACGGCUGUUUGGCUUACUGCAUCCAGACCGAUACUUCCGAUAUCUAAACCCCUUUAGUUCACCUCAUAAUAUAAUAUAUUGUAUAAGUCAAGGUCGUUAGCACAUAAUGAAUCUGAUGGAUCCUAAAGGAUUUAAAAAUUGAAGUUUUUUUCUCCCAAAGGACUGGACUGGCUAGUAUAUUUGAACUGAAAAACAGAAAGUGAGAUUCUGUCUAAAUAUAUUGUUUUAGCCAGAAAACAACUGUUACACAGAUCUUGAAUAUUAUCCAUUUAUAUAUACAGGUUUUAUUUUGAAAAAUGAAACUACAGAUUGAAAACUAUAUAUAUAUAUAAAGUCCCCAUUUUUGUAUGUAAUUCCUCUACCAAAAUCUAGAUUACUAUAGCUUGUCCAGUUCUAAAACUUUCUUUUUACUGUUAGCGUGCAACAUCUGUAGUAACCAUAAAAUUACAGUUACCAGUAGUCGCCUGAGCAUUUGAAUGCCACUGGACAAAGUUGGAAAUAAUUCCUGAUAUUCCCAAAGGGUCUGUUUCGGUAGAUUUAGCAAAUUAAAUGUGGGAGCAAGUUGAAUGUGCCACUGAAAGCAGUAUUCAAUGAGCUUUGUCUGAAACCGGGGCCUGGGGGCAGACUGAUGUGUAUCGCCUUGUCCAGUAUGUCAAGAAAAUGUGAAGAUGGUAAAAUACCUACACUGCUACUGUACUUAAAUUUGUCUAUAUAUUGUAUGACAGAAGAAGGUUGAAAGUUGCUUAAUGCAUAAAAACAAAAGCUGAAGCCAAAUAAAUUAUGUACCUGACCUGUUGGGCAGGAGCAGGCUGUAUUUAAAGAUCAACUGAUACCUGUAUUUCUAAAGCAGAAAACAUCCCCUGUUCCCUUAUGAGAAACAAGCUAUUAAAAGUCAAUACUCAAAACAGA